UCCCUUUCUCUUCGUAUUUCUACCCGAGCUUCCCCCUUUCCUGCCUUAGCUUCCUCCGCCGACUCUUCUUCCUCUUCUCCUCUGCCUUUCCUCCCCGUUGAGUAUCGCGUCGCCGCCGACACCUACAGACCACGACCGGUCACCGCAGCCGACCUUCGUCUCUGCCCAAGCUGUUCUCGACGCCGAGUUCUCCUUCCACGAGCUUGCGCCGACCUCCCCUGCAGCUGAUCCUUCUUCUUCUCCACCAGCAAACCCUCUGUUUUCUCCUCUGCCCUAGCGCCACUGCCGACCACCGCGGAUCCACAAUUGGUCAUCGCCAUCUUGAAGCCGACACUAUCUUGAUCGCGUGAGGCCAACUAGGCGUUGCCGCAAUCGCCUCUCUGAUCCAUCGGUUUCACGCCUCUGCGUCGCCUGCUCCUCUCCUUGUCAUCAUCUACGGCCACCCAACUUUGCUCUGGCAGCCGACCAUUGUUGGCCACCGUGGACCAUCAUCUAGUUCACCGCUGGCAGCCCCUCCCUAUUCUGAUCAUCCACGCUUGUUGCUGAAUCUCGCUGUGAGAAGAUAGUCGACCACUCCUGCUCACUAUCAUUGCUGUUGUGCACCACUACUAGGGAUCCAUCGUUGGAGAGGCAAGGGCCGAAUAGGGACUUUGAUUUGAGACGAGCGUCUCGACGUAGGAUUUCUAGAUUCGAUUUUCUAUUGAGUGAUCUAAAUCAUAGAGAAGAGCAGGCGACAAAUCUGGUGACCUACUAAUGGCGACUAAGGAUCCCGCUCCUUUUAACGUGAGGUUCUCCAGAUUUCUUCAAGAAUUUGGCUGGGAUUUAAUUCUUGGAUCCAUUGGUACUCUUUACUUGAUUAUGGUGCCCUACACGAAGGUUGAAGAGAGCUUCAAUGUCCAGGCAAUGCAUGAUUUUCUUCAUCACCAUCAUCAUAUACUGAAGUAUGAUCAUUUGGAGUUCCCUGGUGCUGUACCACGUACUUUUAUUGGUGCCCUGAUUGUGUCGGUUUUAGCAUCACCAGUGGUGGUCCUGAUGCAUUCCAUUCAUCUGUCAAAAGCGUAUGGUCUGUUAGCAGUUCGCUUCAUGUUGGGCUUCAUUGUUCUGUUAGCUCUGCGCCUUUUUCGAAUACAGGUGAGGAAGAAAUUUGGAUAUCAUGUUGAGGGAUUCUUUGCCGCAUUAACAGCCAUACAAUUCCACUUGUUAUUCUACUCUACACGCCCUCUUCCUAACAUACUAUCCUUUGGUUUAGUUAACUUGGCAUAUUCUUUCUGGUUUGAAGGAAACCCACGUGCUACACUCCAGUAUCUGACUUGUGCAACAGUAAUAUUUAGAUGCGAUACUGUUCUGCUCUUUGGGCCGAUUGGAAUUGAACUUUUGCUGAACAAAUCCAUCUCCAUUUUCGAGGCAAUUAAGUGUUGCAUAUUGACAGCCUUUUUAAGCAUAGGGGGCACUGUACUGCUUGAUUCAAUCAUGUGGCAAAGAAUUUUGUGGCCAGAGCUGGAGGUUUUUUGGUUUAAUACUAUCCUAAACCGAAGUUCAGAAUGGGGUACUCAAUCAUUUCAUUGGUAUUUCACUUCAGCACUUCCUCGUUCUCUGCUUGUAGCAUAUCCUCUUUGUUUGGUAGGAAUGCUGCUUGACCGGAGGAUUUUGCCUUACAUAAUUCCUGUCUUCUCGUUUAUUUUACUUUACUCAAAACUUCCACACAAGGAGCUUCGUUUUAUAAUUGGUGCCAUUCCCAUAUUCAAUGUAUCUGCAGCAAUUACAGCAAGCAGAGUGUAUAUCAAUAGGAAGAAGGAUGGCUGGAGGUGGCUAUACAUAAUAUUAUUUGGAUCUUUACUCAUCAGUCUAGGAUGUUCUUUCAUGAUGUUCCUUGCAUCCUAUAACAACUACCCUGGUGCUUAUGCUUUGAAGGCUCUGCAUCAAUCAGACAUAUCUGAUGAAACGAAAGAAAAGUUUGUUCACAUUGAUGCCUUCACAGCCAUGAAUGGUGUUUCUCGCUUUUUGGAAAAUGAAUAUCCAUGGAGGAGUGAUACAACGUCAGUCGUCACACUGCCCACCUACUUAUAGGAGUUUGGAUCCACAAGACUUCAUCUUAAUAGAUUGAAGUAAUGUAUUUGGUGUUGAUGAGAUGACACGCAGGCGACUGCUUUCUAUCAUGGGCUUUCAGGAGGUUCCAUGCCUUUUAGAUGUCUCGAGAUUCCAUUGGCUGCUACGCGUCUUUGGAUCUCAUAUUAUAACCUCCUUGAUUCUCUGGUUUGACGGAUGAAUGCUUGGCUGCAGAAAACACUAUUAUAAGCUGGCAAGGCGCAACUUAUUACAUUAGUGCUUCAGGGAGUGGAGUGCGUCUAGUUAUCUAUUCUGCUAAUACCCUGGGUAUCAUUGAUCACAUUUACAGCAUUUGCAGGUCUUUCAUGUGGACUUUUAAACACUCACUAGUGUCAUGGGCAGAUAUGUGUAGACCCGAUGAAGGUGGCUUGGGGUUUCAAGACUUGCAUGCAUGGAAUUUAGCCAUCUUGGCUAAAGUACUAUGGCGGAUACAAGCUAAAGAGGAUGCACGUUGGAUAAAGUGGAUCCACCAUACUUACUUGAGGCGUGCAGUUGUAUAGACUUGGAAAGCAAUCCACACAGAUUCCCCUCUAAUCAAGUGUGUGUUGCAAAUAUGGAAUCUUAUAUUAUCGGUUGCUGGAUUACCGGAGGCUGCUAGACAGAGGCUCGCAGAUUGGUUUGCUAGGGAUGGCGUUGUGGUUCAAGCAUAUGACUUUUUUAGGCAUCCUAGUCGUAAGAAGCUAUAGGUCCAAACAGUGUGGAAGACCUAUGUAUAGCCAAGUCGCGCAGUUGUCCUCUAGAUGUUGGAAUAGAGGCGUCUUUCCAUUAGAGACCAAAAGAAGUAUAUGGAGGAUCAACAGUACACAUUCUGUAGAUAUGUGCUAGAGACACAAGAGCAUGUAUUCUUUGAAUGCCUCUCUAUAGCAAAGUAAUGGAGGCGGAUCAUAGACUGACUUCACAUGUGACAAGAGAUGUCCGUAUACUAGUAGAUGAUGCAAGUUUUGGAGAGUAUUGCCGUGGGAGUAGGAUGUUGAUACAGAUACUCUAAAGAGGAAGGAAUUUCUUUGGAUGAAUAUGGCGGCAGAAAUUUCACCUACUUGUUGAACGAGCAUUUUCACAUUGAUGGAUACAAGUGCUUGUUUAGUGUAAGUGGAUUUUCCAAAGUUCAUUUUCGGG